GAUGAACGCUGGCGGCGUGCCUAAUACAUGCAAGUCGAGCGAACGGACGAGAAGCUUGCUUUUCUGAUGUUAGCGGCGGACGGGUGAGUAACACGUGGAUAACCUACCUAUAAGACUGGGAUAACUUCGGGAAACCGGAGCUAAUACCGGAUAAUAUUUUGAACCGCAUGGUUCAAAAGGGAAAGACGGUCUUGCUGUCACUUAUAGAUGGAUCCGCGCUGCAUUAGCUAGUUGGUAAGGUAACGGCUUACCAAGGCAACGAUGCAUAGCCGACCUGAGAGGGUGAUCGGCCACACUGGAACUGAGACACGGUCCAGACUCCUACGGGAGGCAGCAGUAGGGAAUCUUCCGCAAUGGGCGAAAGCCUGACGGAGCAACGCCGCGUGAGUGAUGAAGGUCUUCGGAUCGUAAAACUCUGUUAUUAGGGAAGAACAUAUGUGUAAGUAACUGUGCACAUCUUGACGGUACCUAAUCAGAAAGCCACGGCUAACUACGUGCCAGCAGCCGCGGUAAUACGUAGGUGGCAAGCGUUAUCCGGAAUUAUUGGGCGUAAAGCGCGCGUAGGCGGUUUUUUAAGUCUGAUGUGAAAGCCCACGGCUCAACCGUGGAGGGUCAUUGGAAACUGGAAAACUUGAGUGCAGAAGAGGAAAGUGGAAUUCCAUGUGUAGCGGUGAAAUGCGCAGAGAUAUGGAGGAACACCAGUGGCGAAGGCGACUUUCUGGUCUGUAACUGACGCUGAUGUGCGAAAGCGUGGGGAUCAAACAGGAUUAGAUACCCUGGUAGUCCACGCCGUAAACGAUGAGUGCUAAGUGUUAGGGGGUUUCCGCCCCUUAGUGCUGCAGCUAACGCAUUAAGCACUCCGCCUGGGGAGUACGACCGCAAGGUUGAAACUCAAAGGAAUUGACGGGGACCCGCACAAGCGGUGGAGCAUGUGGUUUAAUACGAAGCAACGCGAAGAACCUUACCAAAUCUUGACAUCCUUUGACAACUCUAGAGAUAGAGCCUUCCCCUUCGGGGGACAAAGUGACAGGUGGUGCAUGGUUGUCGUCAGCUCGUGUCGUGAGAUGUUGGGUUAAGUCCCGCAACGAGCGCAACCCUUAAGCUUAGUUGCCAUCAUUAAGUUGGGCACUCUAAGUUGACUGCCGGUGACAAACCGGAGGAAGGUGGGGAUGACGUCAAAUCAUCAUGCCCCUUAUGAUUUGGGCUACACACGUGCUACAAUGGACAAUACAAAGGGCAGCGAAACCGCGAGGUCAAGCAAAUCCCAUAAAGUUGUUCUCAGUUCGGAUUGUAGUCUGCAACUCGACUACAUGAAGCUGGAAUCGCUAGUAAUCGUAGAUCAGCAUGCUACGGUGAAUACGUUCCCGGGUCU
rnacentral:rRNA from 1 species